rnacentral:RNase_P_RNA from 1 species
UCGGUGACGGCAGAGUAACGUGACAGAAAACAACAGCCCGUCUCCCUUUCCGGGAGGUCAGGCAAUGGUGAAAAGGUGGGGUAAGAGCCCACCGGGUAUCGUGGCGACACGAUAUGCCGCACGUCUUAUGGGUUGCAAGGCCACAUAUACCGGCGCGUUAGCAUGUCAGACCGUCUUUACGGUGACACUAACAAUGGGUUGCUCGCUCAUUGCCGGGGGGUAGGCUGCUGGAGUGCCGAAGCAGAGCGAGGCACCGAUUAGAUAAAUGACACGGGCACUGCGGCAACCUUCAGGGCUUGCCCCUGAGAGAAGUCCCGCAGUGACAUAACCCGGCUUAUAGUCCUGCUACCUUU